GCCGAGCUUGGUAACGCUUGCUUGUGACCUAAGUUAGGGGCAUUAAGGUGUUGGAAAAGUAUAUUUAAUGUGUGUAAAAAAAAAGUACAUAAUAAUAAAACAAUUUCUUA
rnacentral:SRP_RNA from 1 species